AUUGAACGCUGGCGGCAUGCCUUACACAUGCAAGUCGAACGGUAACAGGUCUUCGGAUGCUGACGAGUGGCGAACGGGUGAGUAAUAUAUCGGAACGUGCCCAGUAGUGGGGGAUAGCCCGGCGAAAGCCGGAUUAAUACCGCAUACGACCUGAGGGUGAAAGGGGGGGAUUCGCAAGAACCUCUCGCUAUUGGAGCGGCCGAUAUCAGAUUAGGUAGUUGGUGGGGUAAAGGCCUACCAAGCCUGCGAUCUGUAGUUGGUCUGAGAGGACGACCAGCCACACUGGGACUGAGACACGGCCCAGACUCCUACGGGAGGCAGCAGUGGGGAAUUUUGGACAAUGGGCGCAAGCCUGAUCCAGCAAUGCCGCGUGCAGGAAGAAGGCCUUCGGGUUGUAAACUGCUUUUGUCAGGGAAGAAAUCCUCUGGGUUAAUACCUCGGGGGGAUGACGGUACCUGAAGAAUAAGCACCGGCUAACUACGUGCCAGCCGCCGCCGUAAUAC
rnacentral:rRNA from 1 species